rnacentral:lncRNA from 1 species
CACAAAUUGAGAUGGAAUAGCCUACUAUACGCCUAGGCUGGAUGGUAUAGCCUGUUGCUCUGAGGCUACCAACCUACACAGUCUCCACUGCUACGACAACAAUAAAGAUCUAAAGCAGCUGUUCAGCUUUGGGUGGACCACACAGAGCCAUCCCCAGGAGACACAGCAACCUGAGACAACAGUCAGUCAAACAAAUGUAAACAUAAUCUUCAGUGUCCUGUUCAGAUACCAGUACAAGUUGGGUGACUUCUGGCUCUCAUCCUCCAAGAAGAGGGAAAGACUGAGGAAACGAGAACCAACGCAGUUAUUGCUGAACCCAGGAUAAUCAGAACUGCUGGAGUCAUCCUGUGACCAUAGAGGGAGAUUUCACUGAAUCCUGAUGAUGGCAGAAGAGAAUUAUGAAGAGUGCCUCCGUCCUUGAAGACUCUGUUGAGCAGCCAAACUGACCCUGGAACUGCCUAUUUCAAAAUUCCUCAUGAAGUAAGCUUUAAAAUGGCCUUCUUAUUUAAGCCAUUUUUAGGAAUAUAGAGAACAAAAGUCAGAUAUUACUUGAGAAGCAGAGUGUCAGAGAACCAGGAAUUAAAGACAUAAGCUAAUCCCCAAUCAAGCAUCUAACUGCAUCCUGCCUUUAAGGAUUGGGCCCCAGAACUUCUCAGGGAUUCUUCCAGAGAAAUCAGGAAUAACCUAUCUACUAAUGAUCAGCACCUGUGUCUUUGUGUCUGAGGCCAAGAAUAAAUUCAUCAACUGGGUAGCCACUACAGCAGAAGAAGCCAACCACAGUCAAUGUUGACUACGCGUCAAGUUGCCAGAGGCCACAGGAAAUGGACUACCUUGGAGAAUCAUCCCUGCCAACAUUUCUGAAUGGCUAUGUCACUACCAAUGGGGCCACAACAACAACACUUGCAACCCAACCUGGACUUCCUUUGACCAAAGGAAGAAAUCUAUCUUUGCCCAUGUCAGACGAAAGGUGAACACCACCCUUGCCUUGUGUCAAAAGCUUUGGUAUCCUGCCCAAUAUGCCUGGAACAGUAUAUAUUGGGAAACUGCUGUGCUGGUGGCCAGAUUCCAUAUAGCCCCCCACUUUGUCUGGAGGCCUUAAAUGGCUCCUCUAAUGUUACUCUGGGGUUUCUCCUGCCAGACAACUGUCAACACAUACUCGAAAUCAACAACAUUGUCCCCAGUGAAACACAAUCUCUUUCCUGCUUUAAUAACACCUUAAUACACUAUAAUUACAAAAAAACCAUUGCUGUACCCUGGUGGGGGCCCUGUGGGUAUGCAGAUCCUACGAGUGGCAAUACCUGCCCCCACAUUGGAUGGGGAGAUGCACUUAGAGGUGGCCAUUAAUUCCAUUCACCAUCCAGGAUAAUAUUCCCCUCCCCAGUAAUCUGGACUCCCUGGUGGUGGUACCCUAUCACAGUAUUCUCCCCUGCCACCGGUACAAUCCUGCUUCAGCAAAAAAUUAAAAUAUUAAGCUUA